UAAUAGCAUGCAAUGUCGAACGGCAGCACUACGAGGAGCUUGCUCCUUGGGUGGCGAGUGGCGGACGGGUGAGGAAUACGUCGGAAUCUGCCUAUUUGUGGGGGAUAACGUAGGGAAACUUACGCUAAUACCGCAUACGACCUACGGGUGAAAGCGGAGGACCUUCGGGCUUCGCGCAGAUCGAUGAGCCGACGUCGGAUUAGCUAGUUGGCGGGGUAAAGGCCCACCAAGGCGACGAUCCGUAGCUGGUCUGAGAGGAUGAUCAGCCACACUGGAACUGAGACACGGUCCAGACUCCUACGGGAGGCAGCAGUGGGGAAUAUUGGACAAUGGGCGCAAGCCUGAUCCAGCCAUGCCGCGUGUGUGAAGAAGGCCUUCGGGUUGUAAAGCACUUUUGUCCGGAAAGAAAAGCACUGGGUUAAUACCCUGGUGUCAUGACGGUACCGGAAGAAUAAGCACCGGCUAACUUCGUGCCAGCAGCCGCGGUAAUACGAAGGGUGCAAGCGUUACUCGGAAUUACUGGGCGUAAAGCGUGCGUAGGUGGUUUGUUAAGUCUGAUGUGAAAGCCCUGGGCUCAACCUGGGAAUGGCAUUGGAAACUGGCUGACUAGAGUGCGGUAGAGGGUAGUGGAAUUCCCGGUGUAGCAGUGAAAUGCGUAGAUAUCGGGAGGAACAUCUGUGGCGAAGGCGACUACCUGGACCAGCACUGACACUGAGGCACGAAAGCGUGGGGAGCAAACAGGAUUAGAUACCCUGGUAGUCCACGCCCUAAACGAUGCGAACUGGAUGUUGGGAGCAACUUGGCUCUCAGUAUCGAAGCUAACGCGUUAAGUUCGCCGCCUGGGAAGUACGGUCGCAAGACUGAAACUCAAAGGAAUUGACGGGGGCCGCACAGCGGUGGAAA
rnacentral:rRNA from 1 species